rnacentral:rRNA from 1 species
GCAGUCGAACGCUUCUUUCCUCCCGAGUGCUUGCACUCAAUUGGAAAGAGGAGAGGGGGACGGGUGAGUAACACGUGGGUAACCUACCCAGUCAGAGGGGGAUAACACCUUGGAAACAGGUGCUAAUACCGCAUAACAGUUUAUGCCGCAUGGCAUAAGAGUGAAAGGCGCUUUCGGGUGUCGCUGAUGGAUGGACCCGCGGCUGCAUUAGCUAGUUGGUGAGGUAACGGCUCACCAAGGCCACGAUGCAUAGCCGACCUGAGAGGGUGAUCGGCUCUACUGGGACUGAGACACGGCCCAGACUCCUACGGGAGGCAGCAGUAGGGAAUCUUCGGCAAUGGACGAAAGUCUGACCGAGCAACGCCGCGUGAGUGAAGAAGGUUUUCGGAUCGUAAAACUCUGUUGUUAGAGAAGAACAAGGACGUUAGUAACUGAACGUCCCCUGACGGUAUCUAACCAGAAAGCCACGGCUAACUACGUGCCAGCAGCCGCGGUAAUACGUAGGUGGCAAGCGUUGUCCGGAUUUAUUGGGCGUAAAGCGAGCGCAGGCGGUUUCUUAAGUCUGAUGUGAAAGCCCCCGGCUCAACCGGGGAGGGUCAUUGGAAACUGGGAGACUUGAGUGCAGAAGAGGAGAGUGGAAUUCCAUGUGUAGCGGUGAAAUGCGUAGAUAUA